rnacentral:rRNA from 1 species
CCUACGGGUGGCAGCAGUAGGGAAUCUUUCACAAUGGGCGAAAGCCUGAUGGAGCAACGCCGCGUGCAGGAUGAAGGCCUUCGGGUUGUAAACUGCUUUUAUAAGCGAGAAAUAUGAUGGUAACUUAUGAAUAAGGAUCGGCUAACUACGUGCCAGCAGCCGCGGUCAUACGUAGGAUCCGAGCAUUAUCCGGUGUGACUGGGUGUAAAGAGUUGCGUAGGUGGCAUUAUUAGUAGCUAAUGAAAACUGGUGGGGCAACCAUUCGGAAUAUUAGCUAAACUGUUAAGCUCGAGUACGUUAGAGGUAAGUGGAAUUUCUGGUGGAGGGGUGAAAUCCGUAGAUAUUAGGAGGAACACCAAUAGCGAAGGCAGGUUUCUGGGUCGAUUCUGACGCUGAGGCACGAAAGCGUAGGGAGCAAACGGGAUUAGAUACCCUUGUAGUC